GAUGAACGCUGGCGGCGUGCCUAACACAUGCAAGUCGAGCGAUUCUCUUCGGAGAAGAGCGGCGGACGGGUGAGUAACGCGUGGGUAACCUGCCCUGUACACACGGAUAACAUACCGAAAGGUAUGCUAAUACGAGAUAAUAUGCUUUUAUCGCAUGGUAGAAGUAUCAAAGCUUUUGCGGUACAGGAUGGACCCGCGUCUGAUUAGCUAGUUGGUAAGGUAACGGCUUACCGAGGCGACGAUCAGUAGCCGACCUGAGAGGGUGAUCGGCCACAUUGGAACUGAGACACGGUCCAGACUCCUACGGAAGGCAGCAGUGGGGAAUAUUGCACAAUGGGCGAAGGCCUGAUGCAGCAACGCCGCGUGAGCGAUGAAGGCCUUCGGGUCGUAAAGCUCUGUCCUCAAGGAAGAUAAUGACGGUACUUGAGGAGGAAGCCCCGGCUAACUACGUGCCAGCAGCCGCCGUAA
rnacentral:rRNA from 1 species